GAGACACCCCUAUGGAGCAGGACUUGCUUUGGUGGGGCUUUGGUGUUCACUGAGUCUGUCCCUUGAAUGUGUCACU
rnacentral:pre_miRNA from 1 species